rnacentral:piRNA from 1 species
UGUGCUACACAUUGGAACCAUCUACGGUGAC